rnacentral:lncRNA from 1 species
CAUGGUCCGUCCGGCCACCACCCCUGCCCCUGCACCAACCCCUGCCCCGGCACCCGUGGUUAGACCUGCAUUCAGGCCAUUGACUCCUGCACCUGAACCAACCCCAACUCCACCACCAGCUCCAACCCCAACUCCAGCACCCACCACCACAGCUCCGCCACCACCUCCUGCAGCCGCUGCUCAGCCACCACCACCUCCUGCCGUCGCUGCUCAGCCACCACCACCUCCUGCCGUCGCUGCUCCGCCACCACCACCUCCGGCCGUCGCUGCUCAGCCACCACCACCUCCUGCCGCUGCUGCUCCACCGCCUCCUACUGCCGUUCUUAUGCGUCGGCCACCACCACCUGCGGCAACUCCAGCACCACCUCCUCCUGCGACUAGUACUACUGCAUCAGUUCCACCAUCACCAAUUUCAAAAGCAGCAUCUUCUUCAGUGCCAUCAUCUCCUGGAAUCAGGGUUGGUAUAGCCCCAUCUUCUUCAGUGGCACCAUCUC